rnacentral:rRNA from 1 species
GGCGAACGCUGGCGGCGUGCCUAAUACAUGCAAGUAGAACGCUGAAGAGAGGAGCUUGCUCUUCUUGGAUGAGUUGCGAACGGGUGAGUAACGCGUAGGUAACCUGCCUGGUAGCGGGGGAUAACUAUUGGAAACGAUAGCUAAUACCGCAUAAAAUUGAUUAUUGCAUGAUAAUUAAUUGAAAGAUGCAAUUGCAUCACUACCAGAUGGACCUGCGUUGUAUUAGCUAGUUGGUGAGGUAACGGCUCACCAAGGCGACGAUACAUAGCCGACCUGAGAGGGUGAUCGGCCACACUGGGACUGAGACACGGCCCAGACUCCUACGGGAGGCAGCAGUAGGGAAUCUUCGGCAAUGGGGGGAACCCUGACCGAGCAACGCCGCGUGAGUGAAGAAGGUUUUCGGAUCGUAAAGCUCUGUUGUAAGAGAAGAACGGGUGUGAGAGUGGAAAGUUCACACUGUGACGGUAUCUUACCAGAAAGGGACGGCUAACUACGUGCCAGCAGCCGCGGUAAUACGUAGGUCCCGAGCGUUGUCCGGAUUUAUUGGGCGUAAAGCGAGCGCAGGCGGUUAGAUAAGUCUGAAGUUAAAGGCUGUGGCUUAACCAUAGUAUGCUUUGGAAACUGUUUAACUUGAGUGCAGAAGGGGAGAGUGGAAUUCCAUGUGUAGCGGUGAAAUGCGUAGAUAUAUGGAGGAACACCGGUGGCGAAAGCGGCUCUCUGGUCUGUAACUGACGCUGAGGCUCGAAAGCGUGGGGAGCAAACAGGAUUAGAUACCCUGGUAGUCCACGCCGUAAACGAUGAGUGCUAGGUGUUAGGCCCUUUCCGGGGCUUAGUGCCGCAGCUAACGCAUUAAGCACUCCGCCUGGGGAGUACGACCGCAAGGUUGAAACUCAAAGGAAUUGACGGGGGCCCGCACAAGCGGUGGAACAUGUGGUUUAAUUCGAAGCAACGCGAAGAACCUUACCAGGUCUUGACAUCCCUCUGACCGCUCUAGAGAUAGAGUUUUCCUUCGGGACAGAGGUGACAGGUGGUGCAUGGUUGUCGUCAGCUCGUGUCGUGAGAUGUUGGGUUAAGUCCCGCAACGAGCGCAACCCCUAUUGUUAGUUGCCAUCAUUCAGUUGGGCACUCUAGCGAGACUGCCGGUAAUAAACCGGAGGAAGGUGGGGAUGACGUCAAAUCAUCAUGCCCCUUAUGACCUGGGCUACACACGUGCUACAAUGGCUGGUACAACGAGUCGCAAGCCGGUGACGGCAAGCUAAUCUCUGAAAGCCAGUCUCAGUUCGGAUUGUAGGCUGCAACUCGCCUACAUGAAGUCGGAAUCGCUAGUAAUCGCGGAUCAGCACGCCGCGGUGAAUACGUUCCCGGGCCU